UCUGCUAGAAAUCUCAGUUGUUUUCUCGAGAUCAUGAAAUAAUUAUCACGGAAUAAAAGUGUUGUUUUCUCGAGAUCUCUAAUUAAUUAUGUCGUUAUCUCGGGAUAACAAGGUGAAUUAAAAAAGAUUAUAUGA